rnacentral:rRNA from 1 species
GACGAACGCUGGCGGCGUGCUUAACACAUGCAAGUCGAACGGAGAGGCCCUGCCUUUGUGGGGUGCUCGAGUGGCGAACGGGUGAGUAACACGUGAGUAACCUGCCCGUGAGUUGGGGAUAACUUCAGGAAACUAGAGCUAAUACCGCAUAGGAGCACCUGCUGCAUGGUGGGGGUUGGAAAGUUUCGGCGGCUGGGGAUGGACUCGCGGCUUAUCAGCUUGUUGGUGGGGGAGUGGCUUACCAAGGCUUUGGCGGGUAGCCGGCCUGAGAGGGUGACCGGCCACAGUGGGACUGGGAUACGGCCCAGACUCCUACGGGAGGCAGCAGUGGGGAAUAUUGCACGAUGGGCGGAAGCCGGAUGCAGCGACGCCGCGUGCGGGAUGACGGCCGUCGGGUUGUAAACCGCUUUCGCCUGGGACGAAGCGUGAGUGACGGUAAUGUGUAAAGAAGCACCGGCUAACUACGUG